GACGAACGCUGGCGGCGUGCCUAAUACAUGCAAGUCGAACGCAGUGGGGACGGGUGAGUAACACGUGGGUAACCUCCCAUCAGAGGGGAUACCACUUGGAAACAGGUGCUAAACCGAUACUGAUGGAUGGACCCGCGGUGCAUUAGCUAGUUGGUGAGGUAACGGCGCACCAAGGCCACGAUGCAUAGCCGACCUGAGAGGGUGAUCGGCCACACUGGGACUGAGACACGGCCCAGACUCCUACGGGAGGCAGCAGUAGGGAAUAUUCGGCAAUGGGCGAAAGUCUGACCGAGCAACGCCGCGUGAGUGAAGAAGGUUUUCGGGUCGUAAAACUCUGUUGUUAGAGAAGCGGUAUCUAAACAGAAAGCCACGGCUAACUACGUGCCAGCAGCCGCGGUAAUAC
rnacentral:rRNA from 1 species